rnacentral:rRNA from 1 species
AUUAAGAAUUUUGGCGGUAUUUUAGUCUAUCCAGAGGAACCUGUCCUGUAAUCGAUAAUCCACGAUUUUAAUUACUUAUAUUAUUAAUUUACAUAUCGCUGUAGAUUGAAUAUUUUUGUAGAAUUUAAUAUUCAAGAUUUUAAAUGAAAAAAAAUCAGGUCAAGGUGUAGUUUAUAUAUAAGAAGAGAUGGGUUACAAUAAGUUUACUUAAACGGUUAAAUUUUUGUAAUAAAAUUUAUAAGUUGGAUUUGAUAGUAAUUUUAUAUAAAUUUUUAAAAUGAUUUUAGCUCUAAAAUAUGUACAUAUCGCCCGUCGCUUUCAUUCUUAAAAUGAAAUAAGUCGUAACAUAGUAGAUGUACUGGAAAGUGUUUCUGGAAAAUCAAAUUAAAGCUUUAAAAAGCAUUUUAGUUACAUUAAAAAGAUUACUAUAAUUAGUAUAAUUUGAAAAAAAAAAAUUAUUUAAGUUGUUAAUUAAAUAUUUUUUAAAAAAAGAAAUUUAAUGUUUUAUUAAUAAGUAUGAAUAAAUAAAGUUAAUUAUAGUAAAUUAGUAUUGUGAAAGAUAUUUUUUUAUUAAUUUAAAGAAAAAUUAAAUUUUUGUACCUUGUGUAUCAGGGUUUAUUAAAUAAAGUUUAUUAAGUUUUAAAUUUCUCGAAUUUAAAAGAGUUAUUUUUAUAUAAUUUUUAUUGUGGAAUAAAUAUUAUUAAUAUAGAAAUUGAAGUGAAAUGCUAUUCGAUUUUAAAUAUAUCUAGUUUCUUUAGAAAAAAAUUUAAUUUUAUUUUUUUAAGAUUAUUAAAUUUAAUAUAAAAUUUAAUGAUUAAAAUAAAUAAUAUUUUAAGGGAUGAGCUUUAAAAUAUAAUAAAUAUAAUUUAAGUAAUAAAUUUUAAUAAGUAGAAUUAUAAGUUUUAGUCUUUAAUAGUGUGUUAUAACUAAUUGAUAGUAAGUUAAAAUUUUUAUUUAAAUUUAUUUAUUUUAUAAAGAUAUAUUUUAAAAUAGUUAAAAUUUAGAAAUAAUGAUAAAAUUAGUAUAAAUUUUAUAUUAAAAAUUUUUAUUAAAUUUAGGUUAAAUAAAGGAAUUCGGCAAAUAAUUUUUCACCUGUUUAUUAAAAACAUGGCCUUUUGAUUAUGAUUUAAGGUCUAGCCUGCCCAAUGAUUAAUUAAAUGGCCGCGGUAUCUUGACCGUGCAAAGGUAGCAUAAUCAUUAGUUUUUUAAUUGAAAGCUUGUAUGAAAGGUUGGAUGAAAAAAUAGCUGUCUCUAUUUAAUUUUAUUUGAAUUUUAUUUUUAAGUUAAAAAGCUUAAAUAUUUAUAGAAGACGAGAAGACCCUAUAGAGUUUAAUAUUUUAUAUUUAUUGAAUUUUUAGUAUUGAA